rnacentral:rRNA from 1 species
GAUGAACGCUAGCGGCAGGCCUAAUACAUGCAAGUCGAGGGGCAGCAGGAAUAGCAAUAUUCGCUGGCGACCGGCGCACGGGUGCGUAACACGUAUACAAUCUGCCUUUAACAGGGGGAUAGCCCGGAGAAAUCCGGGUUAAUACCCCAUAACAGUGAUCUUGGCAUCAAGGACACUUAAAAGCUCCGGCGGUUAAAGAUGAGUAUGCGCCUGAUUAGCUAGCUGGUGAGGUAACGGCUCACCAAGGCGACGAUCAGUAGGGGAUCUGAGAGGAUUAACCCCCACACGGAUACUGAGACACGGAUCCGACUCCUACGGGAGGCAGCAGUAAGGAAUAUUGGACAAUGCCCGCAAGGGUGAUCCAGCCAUGCCGCGUGCAGGAAGACGGCCCUAUGGGUUGUAAACUGCUUUUACACCGGAGAAAACCCCACUACGUGUAGUGGGCUGAUAGUAUGGUGAGAAUAAGCAUCGGCUAACUUCGUGCCAGCCGCCGCAGUAA